AUUGAACGCUGGCGGCAUGCCUUACACAUGCAAGUCGAACGGCAGCACGGGUGCUUGCACCUGGUGGCGAGUGGCGAACGGGUGAGUAAUAUAUCGGAACGUACCUUAUUGUGGGGGAUAACGCAGCGAAAGCUGUGCUAAUACCGCAUAACCCCUAAGGGGGAAAGCGGGGGACCGUAAGGCCUCGCGCAAUUAGAGCGGCCGAUACCUGAUUAGCUAGUUGGUGAGGUAAAGGCUCACCAAGGCAACGAUCAGUAGCUGGUCUGAGAGGACGAUCAGCCACACUGGGACUGAGACACGGCCCAGACUCCUACGGGAGGCAGCAGUGGGGAAUUUUGGACAAUGGGGGCAACCCUGAUCCAGCAAUGCCGCGUGAGUGAAGAAGGCCUUCGGGUUGUAAAGCUCUUUUGUCAGGGAGGAAACAGCAGCUCUAACACAGUUUGCGAAUGACGGUACCUGAAGAAUAAGCACCGGCUAACUACGUGCCAGCCGCCGCUGUAA
rnacentral:rRNA from 1 species